AUGUAAUUGAGAACCUUCCGAAGUUCCUAAGGACAAACAUAGAGCCAUUUUGAUGCUGCCUAACAUGCAUAAAAUAUUUCAUCAUUAGAUGGGAAGUAGUAUACACCAUAUAUGUGAAUCACGUGUGUGUCCAAAGAGAGAAAAAUUGGCUCAUACCUUCUCACCAAUUGGUUCACCCUCUUCCCAUUCAGCUAACAGAAAACAAAAAACAUAAACUGAAAAAUUUAAAAUAGAUAUUAAAGACCAAGAAAUAAGGCUCAGUGAUAUUCAUAUUUACCAAGUCUUUCAAUUUUUUGGGCUUUAUGGUAAAAACUUUCUUCAGGGCUAUCUGUAACAUGAUUAAUGAAUCUUGAAGUAUAGUGAUUUAGACCUACACAGUCAAUUGAGUUCCAAAGUAACUCCUUAUCCUCCUCCGAGAAUUUUGGAAGCCGAUCUCCAACUAUUUUAUGCAUUACUUCAGGAUAGUCUCCAUAAUAU
rnacentral:misc_RNA from 1 species